rnacentral:sRNA from 1 species
AUGUCCUACUUACGUGCAUCAGUGCUAGUGUGGACAGCAACUCUCUGCACUGCGCCAUUAGAACCUGUUCUUGUCUGGUAAUUAUGGACAGCUGAGACACCAACACAUUUGUCCUGGCUAGCUACAGAAAGAAGCAGAUGACUUCAGGAUAACUCACAUAAUUAAGGUGUAGAGUAGUUUAUAAUGUUCACUUUUACAUAUCAUCACUUCAGUAGAUCUCAAUGCCAUUAUGUAGAUUUGAUUUGUGCUUUCAAGGGUAAAAGGAAACACAUGAAUGAUUCGGAGAGAACGGCACCUUAGGCAGUAGAUAACUCAUUGAGUUUCUCAUUGUCUGCAUGACAUCAACUGCAGAGCCAACAGCAUUUUUGACAGACUGAAAAUCUGCCUGCAAAGUAUGAGAUUGCAAUGCCAAACAUCAGAUAUAAUCAAACUUGUAUGAAACAUGGAGGAAAUAGGAUCAGUGUUUUGUCAGGUUUCAAACCACUGCUCCAUCAGAGACAGGAAGGCGAAGAACGGUAGCAUUCAGAGCUUCCACUGUUCCUGACAGCGAAUUAGCAUACUUGUUCUCCAGUAAGGACCACUCUUCCAGAUAUGCCAUCUG